UAAUGUGAGUGAUUUUAUUCUACUUUAUAGUUUAAAUAGAGUACUAUCGCUACGUCUAUCGGGGCGUUAAUAUCUUCCCUCGCUGCGCUGAACGGGGCGAUGUUCCGACGGGAGUCGGGACGCUAUAUCGUCCCUCGCUGCGACUGAAUGGGGAGAUAUCCCGACGGGAGUCGGGGCUCUAAUAUCUUCCCUCGCUGCGCUGAACGGGGCGAUGUUCCGACGGGAGUCGGGACGCUAUAUCGUCCCUCGCUGCGACUGAAAAGGAAUGUACUGGCAUGAUGAAGGUAGCUUUUUUACAGUGGAUAAAUAAAACUGGAUGAUAUAAAUGGUCGUACGAAUGCAAAGAAUUAUCAAGACAUGAUUGGAGCCUAUUAUUUGCCUCCGUAUAACAGAGGAAAACUUUGCUUAUCAGCAUGAGAUUUUUAUAGAAGAUUUACUCUAUUAUUUUUACCAGCACGGGGAUGAUAAUAAUUGGACGAUCGACGAAACCUUCACCCGGAUACGAAAAUACAACCGUGGCCGCGUAACUAUAGGCACCCACCCAAAUAACUAUAUUCGGUGCCUAUUGUCGGGAAACCCGGGAGGUGAUGUACUGGCAUGUGGACAACAAGAGCCGACGUGUUCUCUGGAGCCACAUGCUCAGAUACAUCGCCCCUGGUUCCAUCGUCGUUUCUGACAGUGCGGCCUAAUAUCGCGGUUGUACGACGAUGGGCUUCUCCGAACAUAAGACCGUUUAAUUAAUCACAGCCAGAGGGUCUUCGGGAGGUAAGGAGGAUAAACUGUGCUGUGUUAAGUGAAAGAAAUGAAUAAGCGUUAUUGAAAAGUGGGUACUUUCCGGUUAGCAGGGCGCCAGUCAAUUGAUGCGAUUUAACUCACGUGUAUUAAGUUAAUUAAUUAU